rfam:Cicer arietinum chromosome Ca6, whole genome shotgun sequence.
UAAGCAAGCAAGACCUUUUGGCUAAGAUCAAGUGUAGGAUGUGUUCUUAUCAGUUUAAUAUCUGAUAUGUGGUCCAAUGGAUCACAAGAUAUUAAAUUUAUUUUUUGAGGAGAAGAGUCCAUUACAGUAGCUUGCUAUUAGGUCUCUUGAGUGUCGCCAUUGUUUUGCAUUAUUGCAUUGGGUGGCGCACCCCAC